rnacentral:rRNA from 1 species
UACAGAGGCCUCGAGCGUUAGGCGGAAUCACUGGGCUUAAAGCGCGUGUAGGUGGGUCGUUAAGUGUCCGCGUGAAAUCCCACGGCUCAACCGUGGAACUGCCGGGCAUACUGGCGAUCUUGAGGCAUUCAGGGGCGAGCGGAACAAAUGGUGGAGCGGUGAAAUGCGUAGAUAUCAUUUGGAACGCCAAUGGUGAAAACAGCUCGCUGGGAAUGAUCUGACACUGAGACGCGAAAGCCAGGGGAGCGAACGGG